rnacentral:misc_RNA from 1 species
UAAAGAGGCAAACAUUUAUAUUACAAACUUAGGAUCUCUGUCCGCAAUUUCUCGCUUCAGCAGUAAAGCAUAUGCCAGCUUAAUAACUAAAUAUUAUUAAUAGGACAACUAUUAAUAGUUGGUAUUGGUAACUAAUGAAGCCAAGUUGGUAACUGCAAAGUGUAGAAUUGACAACCUUCAAAGAGCAUCAAACCCCUCAUUCUCUACUAGUACCAAA